AGUGGACGCUGGCGGUAGGCCUAACACAUGCAAGUCGAACGGCAGCACAGUAAGAGCUUGCUCUUACGGGUGGCGAGUGGCGGACGGGUGAGGAAUACAUCGGAAUCUACUUUUUCGUGGGGGAUAACGUAGGGAAACUUACGCUAAUACCGCAUACGACCUACGGGUGAAAGCAGGGGAUCUUCGGACCUUGCGCGAUUGAAUGAGCCGAUGUCGGAUAGCUAGUUGGCGGGGUAAAGGCCCACCAAGGCGACGAUCCGUAGCUGGUCUGAGAGGAUGAUCAGCCACACUGGAACUGAGACACGGUCCAGACUCCUACGGGAGGCAGCAGUGGGGAAUAUUGGACAAUGGGCGCAAGCCUGAUCCAGCCAUACCGCGUGGGUGAAGAAGGCCUUCGGGUUGUAAAGCCCUUUUGUUGGGAAAGAAAAGCAGCAGGUUAAUACCCCGCUGUUCUGACGGUACCCAAAGAAUAAGCACCGGCUAACUUCGUG
rnacentral:rRNA from 1 species